rnacentral:rRNA from 1 species
UGGCGGACGGGUGAGUAACGCGUGGGUAACCUGCCUCAUACAGGGGGAUAACGGUUAGAAAUGACUGCUAAUACCGCAUAAGCGCACAGUACCGCAUGGUACGGUGUGAAAAACUCCGGUGGUAUGAGAUGGACCCGCGUCUGAUUAGGUAGUUGGUGAGGUAACGGCCCACCAAGCCGACGAUCAGUAGCCGACCUGAGAGGGUGACCGGCCACAUUGGGACUGAGACACGGCCCAG